GUGGGGAAUUUUGGACAAUGGGCGCAAGCCUGAUCCAGCAAUGCCGCGUGCAGGAAGAAGGCCUUCGGGUUGUAAACUGCUUUUGUACGGAACGAAACGGUCCUGGUUAAUACCUGGGGCUAAUGACGGUACCGUAAGAAUAAGCACCGGCUAACUACGUGCCAGCAGCCGCGGUAAUACGUAGGGUGCAAGCGUUAAUCGGAAUUACUGGGCGUAAAGCGUGCGCAGGCGGUUUUGUAAGACAGGCGUGAAAUCCCCGGGCUCAACCUGGGAAUUGCGCUUGUGACUGCAAGGCUGGAGUGCGGCAGAGGGGGAUGGAAUUCCGCGUGUAGCAGUGAAAUGCGUAGAUAUGCGGAGGAACACCGAUGGCGAAGGCAAUCCCCUGGGCCUGCACUGACGCUCAUGCACGAAAGCGUGGGGAGCAAACAGGAUUAGAAACCCGGGUAGUCC
rnacentral:rRNA from 1 species